AAAAGUAAUUAUUUUUAUUUCAACUCUAUAAAGUAUACAACAGGCACUCGGCAAUUACAGCUGCAGGGAAAAUACAGAGCAAAACAAAAGCGGUUAAAGUUUAUGAAAAAAAGUUCUUAAAUCUACAUCAAAAGAAUACCACCGGCCAGUGACCGGUGGAUGACUGACAUUUGUCUGACAAACAAAACCUCUUUUAUGUAGGAAGAAAACUGGAAAAAAUAAGAAUCUAAAACAAAUGGCUAGUGUAAAAACAGCGUAAACUGGGACUUGGGACAAUGGGCAACUCCAAACAAAAAUUUCUCCUUUUGCCAGUAAGGCUCUAAAACUGCCCAAGUCUCAGUGUUACGGCUGGUUUACACAGCCAGGGAGCUGUGGAGGACAAGGAGCUUCCAGCUUCCCAGCUCAGCUUUGUGGGAGCGCCGAGGGCUCGCCUCCGCAGUAGUUUGCAUAUAGAAGGAGUCAGGGGAAAAGCACAGAUCCUGUUUUGUUGAGUGGUGCAAACCAGCUACGCCUUUGAGUCAGGCUUCCAGGUCAAAACACGCAGGUCAGGUUGCACACCGAGUUGCUCAUAAUUUUUUGUGUGUGGGAGAUUUCUAAAGGGGUUUGUAUAAGACAGGAGGUUGGCGCUGGACAGCACGAUGGGUUGAAUCUGCACACCUUAGCAAAACAGGAAUACCUGUCUACGGACUGAUAGGAUGUCAUAUAUUAAUUUGACCUGCACAUAACAUUUAUACAUUUCACAGAAAUGACUCUGUAUCUCAUUAACAGAUACACAGCUCUGGUACAUUGAACAGAAAUAAGAGAACAACUUCAUCAUUUCUGUAAUUCAUCAAUAUUAUAUAAUAAAGGCUUAGAAAUUGGUAGCAGAAAGAACUGUAAAACGCAGCAAGCUAAGAAAGGACGACAUUUUGAGGUGUGUUUGUCUUUGUCAUGCAGCAUAACACCAAAUUUGUAAUCUUUUUUUAUAGGAUGCCAUGGAUUUAAGGCACUUGCAACAAUGCCAGAUAGCUAGUUAUGUUCUAAAACUAUGGGACAGGUGAGUUAACAAUACAGUUGACAUAAAGUUUAAUAAUACUGACAGUUAUGACAUUAAUUCAAGUCUACCUUGAUCUAAAAACAUUACAUUACAAAUAAGAGAAUGAAGUAAUAAUGCCAUGGAACUCUAAAAGAAAAAGUUAUAUGUGUACCACAAAAUAUCAACACGAAAAUACCUAUUUACAUAAAUAUUUGCUUGUGGUCCUGUUGUUAAAUAAGAGUUUGCUAUGGAUAAUGCAGCUAUAGAUCAUCUGUGUCUUAAUGACACCAACCUUAAUAUACUCAUUUUAAAUAUGGGAGCUGCUUUCCCCUUAUGUAGAUAUGCCAUUGUCCCAUAUAUUAAAAGAAGAAAGGACAGUAAAGUGGAAACACAGAAGCAAUCCAUUGUUGUGAAUAUAUAUAUAUAAAAAAUGCAACUCAAAUAUAUUACUUAUAAACGAAGGUGGUUAUCAUAUACAUAUGCUAAGUAUGUUGUUUAAAGUAUGCUUAGGAAAGGUGAUGAAAGUCAAGUGAGGUGUUUGAUGUCAAAAUAAACUUAUAUUCCAUAUAGUGCAUGCUGCACGCUGCAGGUAUUAAUUACCGUGCUUGGCACAAGGAAGAAGAGACAGGAGAAAGAAAAGUAACUCAUCAGCCCAUUUUAAAACCUUCUUCCUGUAACAUUUUCAGGUUGGCCCCCAAACUCAUAGUGAUGCUUUUCCUCCCGGCAACCCCUUGACUGACAACUGCAUCUCAGCUACUGAAUAUC
rnacentral:lncRNA from 1 species